GUGGUAAUGCCGGAUGCUCCAGUUGAUCGCAUGGUCUUCUGGGAAAGCUUUCGCGGUAUGGGAUGGGGUCGCGUCCUAUCAGCUUGACGGCGGGGUAACGGCCCACCGUGGCUUCGACGGGUAGCCGGCCUGAGAGGGCGACCGGCCACAUUGGGACUGAGAUACGGCCCAGACUCCUACGGGAGGCAGCAGUGGGGAAUAUUGCACAAUGGGCGCAAGCCUGAUGCAGCGACGCCGCGUGAGGGAUGGAGGCCUUCGGGUUGUAAACCUCUUUUAUCGGGGAGCAAGCGAGAGUGAGUUUACCCGUUGAAUAAGCACCGGCUAACUACGUGCCAGCAGCCGCGGUAAUACGUAGGGUGCAAGCGUUAUCCGGAAUUAUUGGGCGUAAAGGGCUCGUAGGCGGUUCGUCGCGUCCGGUGUGAAAGUCCAUCGCUUAACGGUGGAUCCGCGCCGGGUACGGGCGGGCUUGAGUGCGGUAGGGGAGACUGGAAUUCCCGG
rnacentral:rRNA from 1 species